rnacentral:siRNA from 1 species
UUUAAUGGAGUACCUAAUAGGCAC